ACCGCAUACGUCCUACGGGAGAAAGCAGGGGACCUUCGGGCCUUGCGCUAUCAGAUGAGCCUAGGUCGGAUUAGCUAGUUGGUGAGGUAAUGGCUCACCAAGGCGACGAGCCGUAACUGGUCUGAGAGGAUGAUCAGUCACACUGGAACUGAGACACGGUCCAGACUCCUACGGGAGGCAGCAGUGGGGAAUAUUGGACAAUGGGCGAAAGCCUGAUCCAGCCAAGCCGCGUGUGUGAAGAAGGUCUUCGGAUUG
rnacentral:rRNA from 1 species